rnacentral:rRNA from 1 species
ACCGAUAGUGAACCAGUACCGUGAGGGAAAGGCGAAAAGAACCCCGGCGAGGGGAGUGAAAAAGAACCUGAAACCGUGUACGUACAAGCAGUGGGAGCCUCUUAAUGGGGUGACUGCGUACCUUUUGUAUAAUGGGUCAGCGACUUAUAUUCUGUAGCAAGGUUAACCGAAUAGGGGAGCCGAAGGGAAACCGAGUCUUAACUGGGCGCUAAGUUGCAGGGUAUAGACCCGAAACCCGGUGAUCUAGCCAUGGGCAGGUUGAAGGUUGGGUAACACUAACUGGAGGACCGAACCGACUAAUGUUGAAAAAUUAGCGGAUGACUUGUGGCUGGGGGUGAAAGGCCAAUCAAACCGGGAGAUAGCUGGUUCUCCCCGAAAGCUAUUUAGGUAGCGCCUCGUGAAUUCAUCUCCGGGGGUAGAGCACUGUUUCGGCAAGGGGGUCAUCCCGACUUACCAACCCGAUGCAAACUGCGAAUACCGGAGAAUGUUAUCACGGGAGACACACGGCGGGUGCUAACGUCCGUCGUGAAGAGGGAAACAACCCAGACCGCCAGCUAAGGUCCCAAAGUCAUGGUUAAGUGGGAAACGAUGUGGGAAGGCCCAGACAGCCAGGAUGUUGGCUUAGAAGCAGCCAUCAUUUAAAGAAAGCGUAAUAGCUCACUGGUCGAGUCGGCCUGCGCGGAAGAUGUAACGGGGCUAAACCAUGCACCGAAGCUGCGGCAGCGACACUAUGUGUUGUUGGGUAGGGGAGCGUUCUGUAAGCCUGUGAAGGUGGCCUGUGAGGGUUGCUGGAGGUAUCAGAAGUGCGAAUGCUGACAUAAGUAACGAUAAAGCGGGUGAAAAGCCCGCUCGCCGGAAGACCAAGGGUUCCUGUCCAACGUUAAUCGGGGCAGGGUGAGUCGACCCCUAAGGCGAGGCCGAAAGGCGUAGUCGAUGGGAAACAGGUUAAUAUUCCUGUACUUGGUGUUACUGCGAAGGGGGGACGGAGAAGGCUAUGUUGGCCGGGCGACGGUUGUCCCGGUUUAAGCGUGUAGGCUGGUUUUCCAGGCAAAUCCGGAAAACCAAGGCUGAGGCGUGAUGACGAGGCACUACGGUGCUGAAGCGACAAAUGCCCUGCUUCCAGGAAAAGCCUCUAAGCAUCAGGUAACAUCAAAUCGUACCCCAAACCGACACAGGUGGUCAGGUAGAGAAUACCAAGGCGCUUGAGAGAACUCGGGUGAAGGAACUAGGCAAAAUGGUGCCGUAACUUCGGGAGAAGGCACGCUGAUAUGUAGGUGAAGCGACUUGCUCGUGGAGCUGAAAUCAGUCGAAGAUACCAGCUGGCUGCAACUGUUUAUUAAAAACACAGCACUGUGCAAACACGAAAGUGGA